CGAAUCUGUAAUAGUUCCUGCCACUUAUAGCUUGCACGAAAAAAGUUGGCGAAAUAAUCCGACGGCAGAUAAUGCAAGUUGUCCAUAGUGCGCCCAUAGAUGUAGAGCGCUGUGUUUCGUGUAUGUCCAGCCUGUAAAUCGAAAUAUGAUUCCCUCGUCAUUUCUUCCUCGAUGUUUUUUUCUUUAAAAUAGUGAGCAAUGUGCCUGUAGUUUCGAAAUCCCAACGGUUUUUGAAUGCAUUGGUAGGUGGCCUUUGGAAAAAUUCGAUACGGUAAAUCUCUUUGCAAUCGUUCGCCAGCAAUCACAAACAUGA